UACGUAGGGUGCAAGCGUUAAUCGGAAUUACUGGGCGUAAAGCGUGCGCAGGCGGCUUUGCAAGACAGAUGUGAAAUCCCCGGGCUAACCUGGGAACUGCAUUUGUGACUGCAUGGCUGGAGUGCGGGCAGAGGGGGAUGGAAUUCCGGCGUGUAGCAGUGAAAUGCGUAGAUAUGCGGAGGAACACCGAUGGCGAAGGCAAUCCCCUGGGCCUGCACUGACGCUCAUGCACGAAAGCGUGGGGAGCAAACAGG
rnacentral:rRNA from 1 species